GGUGGUGAGCCGUCCAGCGU
rnacentral:misc_RNA from 1 species